CCGAGGGGCACUUGGCCAGACUGGUGCAGUUGUGCAACCGGAGAGCGGGGACCCGGGUGUGGCCGCCUACUUCUGGACUCUUCGCCCUUAGAAUCUCGAGAAAUAGACACCUUUUCUGCAGUCCGCCCCGGCUUAGCUAGAAGAAUUUGCCAACCCAAAUCUGAUCCGGGACCGUGCGGAUGGGAAAGCGGACCACAAAAACAAAUUGGAUACCUGCUGUGUGUCAGGCUCUGUGGAGGGACCAGGGACCUCCUACACUCAAGGACCCACAGUCCAGAAGGAAAGACAAACAAACAAAUCCACAAGCAAGUGACCGCAGGAACUUCUCACUUCUCACCAGGAAGCAUAUAAAAUGAGAAAAAGGCAGGAUGGAAUCCAGAGAAGAAGGCAGUGGAGCCCAGGAAAGAGUGUCAGUGGGGCAGAAGGAAGCUAAGAGAGAAGUGGUGCUAAAGGCCAAGGGAAGGGCCUUCUAAAAGGAAGGGCUGGUCCACAAUAAAAAAAUGUCACUCAAAGGUUGGGUGGGACAAUGUAUGAAGAGUGUCCUUUUGAUCUGACAGCUGAGAGGUUUUUGAUAACAGUCAGUGGGUAAAACUGGGAAGGAGACAGUGUUUCUCUGCGGGGCCCGCAGUUUGGACAGGCCCCUUCACUUUGGGUGGUGUUUUUUUCUACCACCACGCACCCCAGGAAGGGACGUUACCCUGGAGCUUCUGGCUGACAUCCCAGUGUCCUCCAAUGCCACUGAAGCAUACUUGUCCUUUCUGCCAUCUCCAGACUCUCGGUCAACUUUGCUCCACUCCAUAGUGAUGUUUUCCUGAGUAAAUCAGAAAAAAAAAAAAGAAAAAAAAGAAUCCUUGUAGACAGGCAACGACUAAUUAGCAAAUAUGCAAAGCUCUCAGCCUCCUUUCCCUAACGCCAUCAUGGAUCUGAGUAGGAGCUUCAUGCAUCUGACUGUAGAAUGAAGCCUCCGUGGUGAAGUUCUCUCCAUCCUUCGGGGUUUGGGUUUAUGAAAACAAAGGAGAGGAAGGUGCUGGUCAGGUGGAGAAUAUGUGUAGACCACCGGAGCCUUGCUCUGUACUAUGGUCUGAAUGUUUGUGUCCCCCUCAAAUUCAUAAGUCGAAAUGUUAAUGCCCAUCUCCAUGGCAUUAGUAGGUGGGGGUGCUUCUGGGGGGUGAUUAGGUCAUGAGGGCAGAGCUUUAUGCCCUUGAAAACAAAUGCCCAAGAGAGCUCCCUUGCCUCUCUGUCAUGUGAAGAAACAAGGAGACGACUCAACUCAGAAGCGGGCCCUCACUCAAACAUGCUGCACCCUGAUGUUGGACGUCCAGCCUCCAGCACUGUGAGAAAUGCAUUCCUGUUGUCUCUAAGCUCCCUAGUCCAUAGUUUGUUUGUUUUUCUAUAGCAUCCCAAAUGGACCAAGACACUGUGCUUCUCAGAUCACAUGGGCUUGUGCAUGGAUGGCAGAAGGAGUAGAGGGGAGGGGAGGAGACAGAAGGAUGGAGAGACAGAGGCAGAAGAGAAAAAAAUAAACUGCAGAGGAAGUAGUUUUAAGUUUUCACUACCAGACAAGAACUAACUGACAAGAACUCAAGUCACACACAUGCCUAUAGUUAGGUUUUCUGUCUCAUCCUUUAUGUUCCCUCCAGAUAGUAAAACACCUAAAAGUACCUUCAGGCCUAUUCUUCAGCAUGACAAAAUUUCCUGCUUCUUGUCUAUGUGGACCAAAGAGGACUGAGAUUACAUCUUUUCUUUUCCCCCCCAGGGAUUUAUUAGAGAGUCUCUUGGGAUUAAAUGUCUGCGGAAGGGAGGCGAGGAUGGGCAAAGGCAGCAGUUGAGCUGGGAUGCCUAUCUAGGAGAAGCCGCAGAUAACCUGCAGGGAAGGAUGAAAUGGGAUGCCCUUUAGAGAUCGCCUCAGAGAUGGCUGGUGCUGGCAAGAAAGGGCCUUUGAACCUGGAAUCAACCAGUCCCUGGAUAUGAUUGAGGGAAGGGAACAUGGCUUUAGGGGAGGAAGGUAGCUCCCUUGAGCUGUGGCAACCCCCAAAGGGGACUGGAAGAUGAGGGCUGUCUGUUGGUGGCACUCCCAGAGGCUGAGAUAAGGGCUCUUUUAUUCCUGAAGGGGAUUCAGGUAGCUUAUAUCACCCAUUACACUCUUCAAUGUUAUAUAAUAUCAUACAAUUUUGCAGAUAGAAUGGAGGAGGGAAUAAAUAUUGCAAAAGCAUGUUGUCAAAUUGCUAUUGAACAGAACAUUAGGUUUAAAAAUAUUACCCAUUCAAUUAAAUUUCUCCCCCUCUUAUAAUGACUUUUGCCUCCAAGGGUGUCACUGAAGAGCAAUUGGUUUCACAGAGCAGCCAAGCUGUUAAUAUGACUAUCUAGAUAUAGAGAAACAAUGUUUUUACGAUGGUGAUUGCUAAGAAUGGUUAGAAAUAAAGGGAAAAUAAAAUUUUUAUGUUGUGUUUUAUCUAGUAACAUUAAAACAAAAAAGAUUGCUCUAUAGGUUUGGCAGCAGGCCAGGAGAUAGGUAUAAGACACUCCCAGCUUGCCACGAAGUUCUAAGAGUCUCCAUCUGUCUUCUGCAUCCAUCGCUAAUUCCCCUCAGGUUUGCAGCUUUCCAUCCUUGGUUUACGAAAAGAGCUCAGUUCUCAGGGUUAGUACAAUCUGCGGGCCAGCAAAUAACUAGCACUGCGGAAUCGCCUUCUUCAAGGUUUACAGUCCUCGAUGGCUCCUAGAUGCCUCUGGAUGAGGUUUAGACCCCUUAAUAUGGUCUCCCAGGUGCUGCAAGAUCUGACCUGGUGGCUCCACAUGCCUUUAUCCCCCUUGCUCUCCUCUUUCAGAUCCUGGAUAUGCUUUUGCUUUUGCUCAUUUCCCAUCCCCCAAAAUAUCCCUCUCUUCCCAUUCCCAAAGCUCUCUCCAACUUUCCCUGGCAUUUCAUUAUAUUGUAACUGUCUAUACCCCAAAUAAGGUCCAGAAUCUGCAUGGCUCCGUCCUAAAUGCAGAUUGUAUUUAAAGCAACAGUGGUCCAGCAUUGCAAAGGUAAUUGAAAGCAUUUUAAUUUUUACCGCAAUUGAAAAUGCCUGAGUGGGCACACAGUCUGAACAUUCAGCCCGAACAUCUUAAUCCUUUCUUUACCUUAUUCCCAUUAACUCCCCCAUGCUCUGAAACGUGUAUAUGCUCCAAAACCAACCAGGAGGUGUGAUAAAGAAAGGGUUUGGGAAUUUGGUUUUGUUUGCUAGUGUAAAUACAUUUUUUAUUGAUUUCAGAGAGGAAAAGAGAGGGAGAGACAUAGACACAUCAUUGAUAACAGAGAAUCAUUGAUUGGCUGCCUCCUGCACGCCCCCUACUGGGGAUUGAGCCUGCAACUUGGGCAUGUGGCCCAAUCAGGACUCAAACCAUGACCUCCUGGUUCAGAGGUCAAAGCUCCACCAUUGAAUCACACUGGCCAGGCUGUUUGUUUUUCAGGUGAUGAAAACGUUCUAAAACUGGCAAUUUAUGUGCCUGAAUAAAAUGGAAAAAUAUACUAAAAACAUCGGAUUGUACACUUUA